rnacentral:siRNA from 1 species
UUACAGUUUUCAGCCCAGAAC